rnacentral:rRNA from 1 species
GACGGAAGGUGCAAGCGUUGCUCGGAAUCACUGGGCGUAAAGGGUGCGUAGGCGGCUUGGUAAGUUGGGUGUGAAAGCCCCGGGCUCAGCCCGGGAAGGGCACUCGAAACUGCCGAGCUGGAGUGCCGGAGGGGAGAGUGGAAUUCCUGGUGUAGCGGUGAAAUGCGUAGAUAUCAGGAGGAAUACCGGUGGCGAAAGCGAGUGACUGGCGCGUUCCUGACGCUGAGGUGCGAAAGCUAGGGGAGCAAACAGG